GUGUAAAAAGUUUAUUGAAAGUUUUCGUUCCUUUCACAGUCGACCCUUUCAUCUUGGAAGAGGAAGUCUAGGGUUAGGGUUGAGAGAGAGCGAGAAAGAAAAAAAAAGGAGAACUCGAUGGAUGCCACAGGCUGGACGUGAUCGGUGAUCAGAAGAGUUGGAACCGGCGAAGUGCGAAGCAUCAGUUGUUGAAUGAAGGGGAUGGGGCAUUCUAUGGACCAAAGAUAGACAUCAGUGUAUCUGAUGCAUUAAGUAAGAAAUUUCAGUGUGCAACUUUGCAGGUUUGCCACGCUCAGAUAGAUUUGUGUUCACAUGAUUUAGUUUUGGAUAACUUGUCAUGUAAUAGCUAGGUGAAUGUGGUUACUAGCAGCUUAACUUCCAGCUUCCUGAUCGUUUGAGGUUGGAAUUCUCUGCUGAGGAUGAAGCCAAAAUUGAGAGACCUGUAAUGAUACAUAGAGUAAUUCUAGGAUCUGUUGAACACAUGUUUGUCAUACUUUUAGAGCACUACAAGGGUAAAUGGCCUUUCUGGCUCAGUCCUCUUCAAGCAAUUGUAUGUCCUGUGUCUGGAAAAUCAUUAUCUUAUGCACUACAGUACGAGAAGCACAAUUAGCUCAGUACAAGUACAUGUUGGUUGUUGUCAGGCCUCGAAAAACGUGGCGUCCACGUGGCAGCAGGAGAGCACGCCACCUCAGCAGUACACAUGGCCGACAAACAGUGCCCGACACCCUCUGCUGAACGCCAGCUGUCGCACGCCCAACUGAGUCAGCGCAUAGUGGGAACGUGCGUCCGGUGUAGUGGAUUACACGUGUCUCCCUGAGAGUGGACGUCCGGCAUCUACAGUCAGAGAAAACGUGCGUCCGCGAUGGUGGAAGGCGCGUGGCAACAGUGCAGUGGUCGACCGUCCGGCGUGGGUUGUCAGAGGCGUAGUGGAGUGCUCAGGCAGAGUGCAGACGUGCGUUGGCGGAAUGGGGUGCGCUGGUGGUGUGCGAACGUGCGCUGACAAGUGGAAAUUCUGAACUUAUUCCCCACUUCCCCUGCACGCACCUCUCUUCUGCAUUUCUGAGAAACCUAAUUUCUCUCCUCCUUCUCUCUACACUCUCUGCACCCUUAUCUCUCUAAGGAACCACCACUGCACCUCCUCCAAUUCUGGUUCCGGCAACGUGGAAGGACGCUCGGCGACAAGAGCUUCCAGAGGAGAACGUUCGGUUAGUGAAUCUCAGAAGCGUGAUUCUGAGUUUGGCGUUGGGGUUCGUUCGCUCGUACAGUGGAUUAACGAGCGCUGGUUAGUGGAAUUUGAGUGGAGAAGCGUCUGUGUGUGCGUCAGUGAACGUUCGUCCAUUUCCGGUUGUCGGAGAGGAGGAAGCAAAUACUGGACAGGUUGUAUGGCCAUCUGAAGUUGUCGUGGUAGAUUUACUCUGCUUUCAUAAAGUAGGAACAACUAAACAAGAUCGGUGGUGAGUGAGAGGCAUUGAGAGAAGAAGAAAAUGAAGUUUUGGUUGCUAUCAUUGUUGACCAAGAGGCGACCAUUGCUAAGCUUGAGAAAAUGGUUGAGAAGCUACAAAUGUUUGUUGCUAAGAAGAGGCAAGGGGUUGCUCAUGUUGGGAACUCACAUUCAAAUAAAGAUUAUGACAUGGUAGUUGAUGAUUUUGGGACCAAUAAUUCACAGGAAGAUUAUGAGCUAGUAGUUUCAUCUGUUCUGGUUUCAAAUUCUAAGAAAGAAAUAGAGAUGGAAGGUGAUGAUGUUGAGAAGUCCAAUUCUAAGAAGAAUUUUGAAAGUACAUUGUAAAUUGUAAAUUUGAAUGAUGUUAACUGUUGUAUUUUUUUAUGAAGGUUGAAUAUAUGAUUCAUUUGUAAUUGUUAUUCAGUUGUUCAUUUUUCAGGUUCAAUGAAUUUGAUUUGGGAAUA